GGAGAGUUAUCGAAGUGGUCAUAACGAGCUCGACUCGAAAUCGAGUUGCGAGUGAAAUCGCACGAGGGUUCGAAUCCCUCACUCUCCGCCA
rnacentral:tRNA from 1 species